GCCAAACAGCUAGCUCACCCAUCCAAUAACUAAGCAAUGUAGAUAAAACAAAAUAAGCCUAACCCUAAAAAUUAAACCAUUCUUUUACCUUAGUAUGGGAGACAGAAAAGGUUAUACCUGAAGCAAUAGAGAUAGUACCGCAAGGGAAAGCUGAAAGAGAAAUGAAAUAACUCAUAUAAGCACAGAAAAGCAAAGAUUAAAUCUUGUACCUUUCGCAUCAUGAUUUAGCCAGUACACCCAAGCAAAGAGACCUUUAGUUUGAAACCCCGAAACCAGGUGAGCUACCCCGAGACAGCCUAUUAAGGGCCAACCCGUCUCUGUGGCAAAAGAGUGGGAAGAGCUCCGGGUAGAGGUGACAAAUCUACCGAACCUGGUGAUAGCUGGUUGCCUAAGAAGUGAAUAGAAGUUCAGCCUCGUGUUCCCUAGAUCAGACGUUAAAAGAAGAUACUAAAGGGUAACGCACGAGAGUUAGUUGAAGGGGGUACAGCCCCUUUAACAAAGGACACAACCUUUACAGGAGGAUAAAGAUCAUAAUACAUAAAACAUCCUGUUCUAGUGGGCCUAAAGGCAGCCAUCUAAACAGAAAGCGUUAAAGCUCAGACAGAAGUAAGUUUAUUAUUCCGACAAAAAAUCUUAUUCCCCUAACUACUAUUAGGCCAGCCCAUGCCCGCAUGGGAGGGACUAUGCUAGAAUGAGUAACAAGAAGGCCUGCCCUUCUCCAAGCACAAGUGUAAGCCAAACCGGACCGACCAUUGGCAAUUAACGAACUCAACCCAAGAGAGUAAUGUGGAUUGCAACAAGACCAAGUAGAACCCACAACAAACCUAUCGUUACCCCCACACUGGCGUGCUAUUAAAGGAAAGACUAAAAGAAGGGGAAGGAACUCGGCAAACUCAAGCCUCGCCUGUUUACCAAAAACAUCGCCUCCUGCAACAAAACCUAGUAUAGGAGGUCCAGCCUGCCCAGUGACUAUAAGUUCAACGGCCGCGGUAUUUUGACCGUGCAAAGGUAGCGUAAUCACUUGUCUCUUAAAUGGAGACCUGUAUGAAUGGCUAAACGAGGGCUUAACUGUCUCCCCCCUCCAGUCAGUGAAAUUGAUCUACCCGUGCAGAAGCGGG
rnacentral:rRNA from 1 species